GCGGAUGGCCGGAUGGCCGCGUGCCGCCCUCGCGGGUGGUGCGAGGAAAGUCCGGACUCCAUGAGGCAACGGUGCCGGGUAACGCCCGGCCGGGGCAACCCGAGGGAAAGCGCCACAGAAAACAGACCGCCCCGGGCUUCGGCCGGGGGUAAGGGUGAAACGGUGGGGUAAGAGCCCACCGCGGCCCGGGCAACCGGACCGGCACGGCAAGCCCCACCGGGAGCAAUGCCAAAUAGGAACCUCGCGGGGCAUGUCCCCAGGGCCGUCUCAGCCCGGAGGUUCGGGUUGGCAGCUAGAGCGCCGGGGCAAUCCGGCGCCCAGAUGAAUGGUCAUCGAAGGGCCGCAAGGCCCGGAACAGAAUCCGGCUUACAGGCCGUCCGCGCGU
rnacentral:RNase_P_RNA from 3 species